UCCUUCGUUGAGAGGGUUUGGUUCGCAGAGACAAAGCCAUGGCUUCAGUUUGUUUCCAACCAGCUGGUUGGGGGGCAGCCAUGGGUUGAUGGAGAUUUUAGCAGAUUUGAUUUUCUUAAUGGGGAACAAAUAUUUGAGGUUUUAAUUUUCCUUUGGUUAAGCAUUUUCACUUAAACAACGCGCACGAAGCACCCAGCAACAAACACCUCAUAUCAAUAUAACAAAGAUUGUGGUGAAGAUUCGAAUAUGUUGGGGCUUCCAUCUUUUCUACACCCUUCGACUCAGGCUUCCAUCUUUCUUCCUUGCGAAUAUUUGCAUCGUUUGUCUUCAGAAUUCAGAAAUUUCAAGGAUUAAUAUAUAGAAGCUGAUACAAUGAGGCCAACCAUUUUCUUGCAUUUUUUGGUGGGAAUAUUCGUUAGCUUGAGUGCUUUCUGCAUCAUUAAUGCAGAAGACCCAUAUUUGUAUUAUACAUGGAUAGUUACAUAUGGACUUGAGUUGUAGUUUCAUUUAAGUUGCCAAAACAAUAUAAAGUAGGUAUAAAUUAGGUAUAAAUUAGGUCAAAAUGCUUCUGUAGAGGACUGUUCUGUAUGUAUGGAAUUUUCAUCUUUGUGGAAAUAUGAAUGGUAUGUUAGAAAGUGAAUUCAUAUAGACUGUAUAGUUGGAAUUUUGAGUCCUUAGGUUUAUUUUUGUGCAAAGUCUUCUGUUAGAAGAUUGAUUGAAGAGCUAUUUCUUCCCUUUUUCAGUCUCUCUUCUAUCACUUGAAAGGCUAAAGCACCUGCAAAGGCAUAAAUUAUAGCUCAUGAGAGCAAUACUUUUUUUGUAUGAAUAUUUUUAAAGGAUGAGACAUAGGAGGAUCUUUGAAAAUGAUGGUCUAGAAUGGAUAUUUUGCAGACCAAAGUUUGAGAGGUCUGUUAUUGGGAAUGCAUAAUUGUAUCCGAAAGCUUCCCAUGAUGAACUUAAGAUCUUUGAAAAUUAUGCAUAAUUGCAUAAUUGGUUGUUGGUUAGGAGAUUUUUCGUCCUUUGUAGAGUUGGGUUCAUUUAUUUGGUUAUUUUGAUUUUAGGUUCUUGGGUAAUCUAUAAUGCUUUAUUUAGUUAUUUUUUACGAAUUUGGGUUCAUUUAUUUUGUUACUUUGAUUUCAG